GGAAUCUUGCGCAAUGGGGGAAACCCUGACGCAGCGACACCGCGUGCGGGAAGAAGGCUUUCGGGUCGUAAACCGCUUUUCUGGGGGACGAGGAAGGACGGUACCCCAGGAAUAAGUCCCGGCUAACUACGUGCCAGCAGCCGCGGUAAAACGUAGGGGGCGAGCGUUAUCCGGAAUCACUGGGCGUAAAGGGCGUCUAGGCGGCCCUGCAAGUUCUGUGUGAAAUCUCCCGGCUCAACUGGGAGGGUGCAUGGGAAACUGCAGGGCUAGAGACUCGGAGGGGGAUGCGGAAUUCCCGGUGGAGCGGUGAAAUGCGUUGAUAUCGGGAGGAACAUCUGAGGCGAAGGCGGCAUCCUGGCCGAGGUCUGACGCUGAAGCGCGAGAGCGUGGGGAGCGAAC
rnacentral:rRNA from 1 species